GCGUGAUCGAUGAAGGCCUUAGGGUUGUAAAGAUCUUUCGCCGGGGACGAUAAUGACGGUACCCGGAGAAGAAGCUCCGGCUAACUUCGUGCCAGCAGCCGCGGUAAUACGAAGGGAGCUAGCGUUGUUCGGAAUUACUGGGCGUAAAGCGCGUGUAGGCUGAUUGGCAAGUUGGGGGUGAAAUCCCAGGGCUCAACCCUGGAACUGCCUCCAAAACUGCCAGUCUGGAGUCCGGAAGAGGUGAGUGGAAUUCCGAGUGUAGAGGUGAAAUUCGU
rnacentral:rRNA from 1 species